GGUUCAUUCAAAUUUCUGCCCUAUCAACUUUCGAUGGCAGGGUCUUGGCCUGCCAUGGUUACAACGGGUAACGGAGGGUUAGGGCUCGACCCCGGAGAAGGAGCCUGAGAAACGGCUACUACAUCCAAGGAAGGCAGCAGGCGCGCAAAUUACCCAAUCCCGACCGGGGAGGUAGUGACAAUAAAUACUGAUACAGGGCUCUUUUGGGUCUUGUAAUUGGAAUGAGUACAAUUUAAAUCCCUUAACGAGGAACAAUUGGAGGGCAAGUCUGGUGCCAGCAGCCGGGGUAAUUCCAGCUCCAAUAGCGUAUAUUAAAGUUGUUGCAGUUAAAAAGCUCGUAGUUG
rnacentral:rRNA from 1 species